AACUAGCCUCUAAUGUGAGAGGGUACCCCCUGGAUUUAAGC
rnacentral:rRNA from 1 species